GCCUCAGUAGCUCAGCUGGUAGAGCAGCUGCUUCGUAAGCAGCUGGUCGCAGGUUCGAAUCCUGCCUGAGGCU
rnacentral:tRNA from 1 species